UUCUGGCUCAGGAUGAACGCUGGCGGCGUGCCUAACACAUGCAAGUCGAACGAAGCAUAUUUGAUUGGAGAUUCGUCGAAGAUGGGAUAUGACUUAGUGGCGGACGGGUGAGUAAUGUGUGAGCAACCUGCCUUUCAGAGGGGGACAACAGUUGGAAACGACUGCCAAUACCGCAUAAUGUAUUUGGGUGGCAUCGCCUGGAUACCAAAGGAGCAAUCCGCUGAAAGAUGGGCUCACAUCUGAUUAGCUAGUUGGUGGGGUAACGGCCUACCCAAGGCUGCGAUCAGUAGCCGGACUGAGAGGUUGAACGGCCACAUUGGGACUGAGAUACGGCCCAGACUCCUACGGGAGGCAGCAGUGGGGAAUAUUGGGCAAUGGGCGAAAAAGCCUGACCCAGCAACGCCGCGUGAAGGAAGAAGGUCUUCGGAUUGUAAACUUCUUUUAUGAGGGACGAAGGACGUGACGGUACCUCAUGAAUAAGCCACGGCUAACUACGUGCCAGCCGCCGC
rnacentral:rRNA from 1 species